CCGCACUCAACGAGCUCCGCAGCACCUCAGGCACCCGCAAGGCUCGUGUGCUCUACGACUACGACGCUGCCAGCAGCAGUGAGCUCUCUCUACUCGCCGAUGAGGUGAUCACCGUGAGCAGUGUGCCAGGCAUGGACUCUGAUUGGCUGAUGGGGCAAAGGGGGAAUCAGAAAGGCAAAGUGCCAAUUACCUACUUGGAGCUGCUCAAUUAAGGCCAGCGAGAAGUGCAAAAAAAAAAAAAAAAAUCACAUUAUAGAUGUGAUUU